AUUGAACGCUGGCGGCAUGCCUUACACAUGCAAGUCGAACGGCAGCGGGGGAGAAGCUUGCUUUUCCUGCCGGCGAGUGGCGAACGGGUGAGUAAUACAUCGGAACGUGCCCUGUAGUGGGGGAUAACUAGUCGAAAGAUUAGCUAAUACCGCAUACGACCUGAGGGUGAAAGUGGGGGACCGCACGGCCUCAUGCUAUAGGAGCGGCCGAUGUCUGAUUAGCUAGUUGGUGGGGUAAAGGCCUACCAAGGCGACGAUCAGUAGUUGGUCUGAGAGGACGAUCAGCCACGCUGGGACUGAGACACGGCCCAGACUCCUACGGGAGGCAGCAGUGGGGAAUUUUGGACAAUGGGCGAAAGCCUGAUCCAGCAAUGCCGCGUGUGUGAAGAAGGCCUUCGGGUUGUAAAGCACUUUUGUCCGGAAAGAAAUGGCUCCGGUUAAUACCUGGGGUCGAUGACGGUACCGGAAGAAUAAGGACCGGCUAACUACGUGCCAGCCGCCGCAGUAA
rnacentral:rRNA from 1 species